UACAGAGGGCCCAAGCGUUGUUCGGAUUCAUUGGGCGUAAAGGGUGCGUAGGUGGCGCCGUAAGUCGGGUGUGAAAUUUCGGAGCUUAACUCCGAAACUGCAUUCGAUACUGCGGUGCUUGAGGACUGGAGAGGAGACUGGAAUUCAUGGUGUAGCAGUGAAAUGCGUAGAGAUCAUGAGGAAGACCAGUGGCGAAGGCGGGUCUCUGGACAGUUCCUGACACUGAGGCACGAAGGCCAGGGGAGCAAACGGG
rnacentral:rRNA from 1 species